GCUUCAGAUCACUUGGAAGGAUGAGCUCCAGCACUCUCUCCUGAAGGACCUGGCUGAGAUUAAAGAUCUCGAGCUGGAUGUGUGUGGACAUCAGAGUUCCCGUCACCAGCCUGCAGACCUACAAGGCCUUCCUGAGGACCGAGGACAUCUCUUACUCUGUCACAGUCAAGGACCUGCAGGUUAUGUUGGAUGAGGAGUGGAGCAGAUGCUGAGUGCUCAUGCCGCUGAGCCCGGAAUACUGAUGACUACACCAAAUACCAGCUCUAUCGCAAUAGAUCUACAGUUUCCAGGACAUGGUGGCUAAGAACCCCAACCUGGUCAGCAAGAUCGUGAUUGGCCAGAGCUACCAGGGAUGCCCCCUGAAUGUGCUCAAGUUUCCCUAGCCACCGGCUCUAGCGGUAACCCCUGCAAUGAGACUUACUCGGGCCCAAGGCUCACUCUGAGUCUGAGGUCAAGUCCAUCGUGUCGAGUCUCAAGGCAACCUGACGGCCUUCAUCGACAUCCACAGCUACUCAGAGGCUCAUGUACCCCUACUGCUACACUGCAACCCCCUACAAGGACCAGAGAGAGCUGGUGAGUCUGACAGGCUUCCCACCUUCCCUUGACCCUUAACCCUGUCUCAGUCAUUUGCCUUAUAAGGGCACAAGGCGAGACCCAGAUGCAGACACGGGAGGAAGAUGGUUUGAG